rnacentral:rRNA from 1 species
AUGAACGCUGGCGGCGUGCCUAAUACAUGCAAGUCGAGCGAACAGAUAAGGAGCUUGCUCCUUUGACGUUAGCGGCGGACGGGUGAGUAACACGUGGGUAACCUACCUAUAAGACUGGGAUAACUUCGGGAAACCGGAGCUAAUACCGGAUAACAUUUGGAACCGCAUGGUUCUAAAGUGAAAGAUGGUUUUGCUAUCACUUAUAGAUGGACCCGCGCCGUAUUAGCUAGUUGGUAAGGUAACGGCUUACCAAGGCGACGAUACGUAGCCGACCUGAGAGGGUGAUCGGCCACACUGGAACUGAGACACGGUCCAGACUCCUACGGGAGGCAGCAGUAGGGAAUCUUCCGCAAGGGGCGAAAGCCUGACGGAGCAACGCCGCGUGAGUGAUGAAGGGUUUCGGCUCGUAAAACUCUGUUAUUAGGGAAGAACAAAUGUGUAAGUAACUGUGCACGUCUUGACGGUACCUAAUCAGAAAGCCACGGCUAACUACGU